GACGAACGCUGGCGGCGUGCUUAACACAUGCAAGUCGAACGGAAAGGCCCUGCUUUUGUGGGGUGCUCGAGUGGCGAACGGGUGAGUAACACGUGAGUAACCUGCCCUUGACUUUGGGAUAACUUCAGGAAACUGGGGCUAAUACCGGAUAGGAGCUCCUGCUGCAUGGUGGGGGUUGGAAAGUUUCGGCGGUUGGGGAUGGACUCGCGGCUUAUCAGCUUGUUGGUGGGGUAGUGGCUUACCAAGGCUUUGACGGGUAGCCGGCCUGAGAGGGUGACCGGCCACAUUGGGACUGAGAUACGGCCCAGACUCCUACGGGAGGCAGCAGUGGGGAAUAUUGCACAAUGGGCGGAAGCCUGAUGCAGCAACGCCGCGUGCGGGAUGACGGCCUUCGGGUUGUAAACCGCUUUCGCCUGUGACGAAGCGUGAGUGACGGUAAUGGGUAAAGAAGCACCGGCUAACUACGUGCCAGCAGCCGCGGUGAUACGUAGGGUGCGAGCGUUGUCCGGAUUUAUUGGGCGUAAAGGGCUCGUAGGUGGUUGAUCGCGUCGGAAGUGUAAUCUUGGGGCUUAACCCUGAGCGUGCUUUCGAUACGGGUUGACUUGAGGAAGGUAGGGGAGAAUGGAAUUCCUGGUGGAGCGGUGGAAUGCGCAGAUAUCAGGAGGAACACCAGUGGCGAAGGCGGUUCUCUGGGCCUUUCCUGACGCUGAGGAGCGAAAGCGUGGGGAGCGAACAGGCUUAGAUACCCUGGUAGUCCACGCUGUAAACGGUGGGUACUAGGUGUGGGGUCCAUUCCACGGGUUCCGUGCCGUAGCUAACGCUUUAAGUACCCCGCCUGGGGAGUACGGCCGCAAGGCUAAAACUCAAAGGAAUUGACGGGGCCCCGCACAAGCGGCGGAGCAUGCGGAUUAAUUCGAUGCAACGCGUAGAACCUUACCUGGGUUUGACAUGGAUCGGGAGUGCUCAGAGAUGGGUGUGCCUCUUUUGGGGUCGGUUCACAGGUGGUGCAUGGCUGUCGUCAGCUCGUGUCGUGAGAUGUUGGGUUAAGUCCCGCAACGAGCGCAACCCUUGUUCACUGUUGCCAGCACGUUAUGGUGGGGACUCAGUGGAGACCGCCGGGGUCAACUCGGAGGAAGGUGGGGAUGACGUCAAGUCAUCAUGCCCCUUAUGUCCAGGGCUUCACGCAUGCUACAAUGGCUGGUACAGAGAGUGGCGAGCCUGUGAGGGUGAGCGAGUCUCGGAAAGCCGGUCUCAGUUCGGAUUGGGGUCUGCAACUCGACCUCAUGAAGUCGGAGUCGCUAGUAAUCGCAGAACAGCAACGCUGCGGUGAAUACGUUCCCGGG
rnacentral:rRNA from 1 species